rnacentral:piRNA from 1 species
UCCGCCUAGACAGCUCACUUCCCUUUACUGC